AACAGGAUUAGAUACCCUGGUAGUCCACGCCGUAAACGAUGUCGACUUGGAGGUUGUGCCCUUGAGGCGUGGCUUCCGGAGCUAACGCGUUAAGUCGACCGCCUGGGGAGUACGGCCGCAAGGUUAAAACUCAAAUGAAUUGACGGGGGCCCGCACAAGCGGUGGAGCAUGUGGUUUAAUUCGAUGCAACGCGAAGAACCUUACCUGGUCUUGACAUCCACGGAAGUUUUCAGAGAUGAGAAUGUGCCUUCGGGAACCGUGAGACAGGUGCUGCAUGGCUGUCGUCAGCUCGUGUUGUGAAAUGUUGGGUUAAGUCCCGCAACGAGCGCAACCCUUAUCCUUUGUUGCCAGCGGUCCGGCCGGGAACUCAAAGGAGACUGCCAGUGAUAAACUGGAGGAAGGUGGGGAUGACGUCAAGUCAUCAUGGCCCUUACGACCAGGGCUACACACGUGCUACAAUGGCGCAUACAAAGAGAAGCGACCUCGCGAGAGCAAGCGGACCUCAUAAAGUGCGUCGUAGUCCGGAUUGGAGUCUGCAACUCGACUCCAUGAAGUCGGAAUCGCUAGUAAUCGUGGAUCAGAAUGCCACGGUGAAUACGUUCCCGGGCCUUGUACACACCGCCCGUCACACCAUGGGAGUGGGUUGCAAAAGAAGUAGGUAGCUUAACCUUCGGGAGGGCGCUUACCACUUUGUGAUUCAUGACUGGGGUGAAGUCGUAACAAGGUAUC
rnacentral:rRNA from 1 species